UUAAGAUACUAAGAGCAUACGGUGGAUGCCUUGGCGAUAUCUGCCGACGAAGGACGUGACAAGCUGCGAAAAGCUGCGGAGAGAUGCAAAUAAUCGGCGACCCGCAGACAUCCGAAUGGAGAAAUCCGGCUGUGAUGAUGCACAGCCAUCCAUGCCCAAGAGCAUGAGAAGGGAACCGGGCGAACUGAAACAUCUAAGUAACCCGAGGAAAAGAAAUCAAACGAGAUACCCCAAGUAGCGGCGAGCGAACAGGGAAAAAGCCCAAACCGGUGAAGGAAACUUUACCGGGGUUGAGGACCAUCAGACCCGCGAAGAACCUUAGCCGAAACUGUUGGGAAACAGUGCCGAAGACAGUGAAAGCCUGGUAGGCGAAAAAGAGAAACGCGGAGAUGGCACCAGAGUACCGCGGGACACGAGAAAUCCCGUGGGAAGCAGGGGGGACCACCCUCCAAGGCAAAACACAGAUAUCGACCGAUAGCGCAUAGUACCAUGAGGGAAAGGUGAAAAGCACCCCGGGAGGGGAAUGAAAGAGAACCUGAAACCGUAUGUUUACAAGCAGUCGGAGACCGCUUAAUAAUAAGGUCGACGGCGUGCCUAUUGAAGAAUGAACCGGCGAGUUACGAAGCCUGGCAAGGUUAAGCAGGAAAUGCGGAGCCGAAGCGAAAGCGAGUCUUAAGAGGGCGCAAGUCAGGAAGCGUAGACCCGAAACCACAGUGAUCUACCCAUGUCCAGGUUGAAACACAGGUAAAAAUGUGUGGAGGACCGAACCUAUAUCCGUUGAAAAGGGUUAGGAUGAGGUGUGGGUAGGGGUGAAAUUCCAAUCGAACGUGGAGAUAGCUGGUUCUCCCCGAAAUAGCUUUAGGGCUAGCCUCAGGGAAAAGAUUGCAGGCGGUAGAGCACUGAUCAGGAGAGGGACCUACCCGGUUACCAAACCCAGUCAAACUCCGAAUGGCUGCAAUCAUACCUGGGAGUCAGACUGCGACUAAUAAGGGCCGCAGUCAAAAGGGAAACAGCCCAGACCAUCAGCUAAGGUCCCCAAUGCCGUGCUAAGUGGAAAAGGAUGUGGCAUUUCAUAAACAACCAGGAUGUUGGCUCAGAAGCAGCCACCAUUUAAAGAGUGCGUAAUAGCUCACUGGUCGAGAGACGCUGCGCCGAAAAUGUCCGGGGCUCAAGCACGGAACCGAAGCUAUGGCAUGAUAGCAAUAUCAUGGGUAGGGGAGCGUUCUUAUAAGGAAGAAGCAUGACCGGAAGGACAUGUGGACAAAUAAGAAGUGAGAAUGCCGGUAUGAGUAUCGAAAAGAAAGGUGAGAAUCCUUUCCACCGAAAGCCCGAGGGUUCCUGAGCAACGAUCGUCGACUCAGGGUAAGUCGGGACCUAAGCCGAGGCGGAAAGCGUAGGCGAUGGACAACAGGUUGAAAUUCCUGUACCGGAUCAAGUCGAUCGAGCGAAGGAGCGACGCAGGAGGGCACAUGAUCGCGCGGCUGGAAGAGCGCGUCCAAGUGCGUAUGUUGCUGCAGAGGAAAACCCCUGCGGCUGAAAGCAGAGACAUGAUGGGGAGUUAAAGGAAACUUUGACGAACUCAUGGAUCCCACACUGCCAAGAAAAACUUCUAGCGAGACAAGAUCCGCCCGUACCGUAAACCGACACAGGUAGGCGGGGAGAGAAUCCUAAGGUGCGCGGGAAAACCCUCGUUAAGGAACUCGGCAAAUUGCAUCCGUAACCUAGGGAGAAGGAUGGCCCCCGGUCAGUGAAGAGCAGAAACGCUCAGAGCUAAAAGGGGCGGCAGAAAAGAGGCCCAAGCAACUGUUUACCAAAAACACAGGUGCCUGCGAAAGCGAAAGCUGAAGUAUAGGUGCUGACGCCUGCCCGGUGCCGGAAGGUUAAGGAGAGAAGUUAGCGAAAGCGAAGCAUCGAACUGAAGCCCCGGUGAACGGCGGCCGUAACUAUAACGGUCCUAAGGUAGCGAAAUUCCUUGUCAGGU
rnacentral:rRNA from 1 species